GCAUUACUUUUCGAUCAAAUUUUUAUUAGUGAGAAUUCAAAAUCAAAUAUCAAGUAAGCUGCAAAAAAAUGCAAGGGCAAAAUCGCUUUUCCGUUGUUAUAUUUUUAGUGGUGGUACUCGCUAUUCUUCAUUCAAGUAAGGCACUGAAUUGUUAUGGUACGACUGACGAUGGUGGAUACCAAGAGAUGCAGUGUCCGCCGAAUUUCCCUGAAUGUGUCAAAUUUUCUAGCGAAUAUGUUGGCGAUAAUAUACAUGCAUGCGCUAUUGACAACUUCUGUGAAGUAGCGAAGGACGAGUUGCAGUUAACAGAAUGCUAUGAAUGCAAGACAGACCUGUGCAAUGCAUAAGAAUACGAUAUCAACUAUCACAAUACUAACCUCAGGAUUGGUUGUGCUGUUUUGGUCAAUUCAAUAAUUCUUAUAAUUUUCUUAUAGUUAUUUAAUCUUGUAAUUUGUAAUAUCAUGGCCUUCUUAAAAAGCUCAACUAGAACACACCAUAUCGGUGGAACAAAAUUUUGCUUUUGUGACGUUAUUCUCUAAAUAAACAAUUUUGUUCAAUCGUAA